rnacentral:rRNA from 1 species
GACGAACGCUGGCGGUGUGCUUAACACAUGCAAGUGGAGCGACGAACCAGAGCUUGCUCUGGGGCAGAGCCGCGAACGGGUGAGUAACACGUGGGUAACCUACCCCGAUGACCGGGACAACCCGAGGAAACUCGGGCUAAUACCGGAUAUGUCCGACAUUCACGAGGAUGUCGAGCAAAGGAAGCUUCGGCCUCCGCUUCGGGAGGGGCCCGCGGCCCAUUAGCUAGUUGGUGGGGUAAUGGCCUACCAAGGCUGCGAUGGGUAGCUGGUCUGAGAGGACGAUCAGCCACACUGGGACUGAGACACGGCCCAGACUCCUACGGGAGGCAGCAGUGGGGAAUCUUGCGCAAUGCGCGAAAGCGUGACGCAGCAACACCGCGUGAGGGAAGACGGCCUUCGGGUUGUAAACCUCUUUCAGGAGGGACGAAGGAUGGGUGGUGAAUAGCCAUUCCAUCUGACGGUACCUUCAGAAGAAGCACCGGCUAACUACGUGCCAGCAGCCGCCGUAACAC